UUUUGCGGGGAGCGUCACCCCGGCGGAGGCCGGGGUCUCGGGAGAGAGGAGAUGAGGUUGCGGCAGGAGCCACCCGAGAUCCUGGCCUCCGCCGGGAUGACGCGUCGCUCAGA
rnacentral:pre_miRNA from 1 species